AGAGGAACUGGCGUAGCGUCCUGGUAGACAUGCUGCAGCCCCGCCGUCCCCGGCUUCUCCGUGAGGUCCCCGGGACUCCUCGCCACCACCUGGCACUGGCCCCCGGCUGCCUGCUCCUGGAGUCGCGCGGGGCCCCCUCUCCGUCCCUGCCCAACCCGCGGAGGCUUACCUCACUCUCUCUUCGGGUUGCAUUCGCCAUAAGAGAGCCGGUAGACCCCUGAAAUCCCGGGACCGCCUCCCACGCAAAACGUGAGACAAACAAAAGGAAAGGCGGAAACGCAGAAACGCAGAGGUAGCCAGUGGAUGAGGCAUGCGCAGAGCCCACGCUCAAAGCCUGGCGCUGUUGGCGCCCAACCUGGAAACUACCUUUCCCGUGAGGACGCGAGAGCAGCCCUUCGGGAUUGGCAGAGAGGUGCCCCGCUAGGCAGUGGACAGAUGCGGUCUGAGUUGGUGUGGGAACUGCCCGCAGCCCUGGCUCUCCCGGGGCGACCCAAAGGGAUGCACUGCAGGGGAGGUCUGUGUGCAGCAAGUGUGCAGUGUAUUGUGUACUUUACAAAAGCAUUGUCAACUUUAUCCAGAACGGAGUCUAGCUCUGUCACCAGGCUGGAGCACAGUGGCAUGAUCUCGACUCACUGCAACCUCCACUGAAGAAGGAAUUCAUGAAUUUUACAAGUAUAAUCAAAGACCACCAAGAAAUUUUUACUUUUUCCUUCAAAAGCUAAGUGUAGUGUAGCACCCCCUGCCCAUAGUCUAAGUUACAGAAGAAUACUAACUGCCUGUUUUUCUUUCUGUGUUGUGAGCCUUAUCUGUUCUCACCAGUUUCACAUUCCUUGAGGCUCAGUGAGUUCCUGCGCACCUCCCUAGCACAGCUGCAAAGUUACAAGGUUGAUAUGCAUAUGUUACAGAAACAUAGUUUCCCAAGGAUGUGGAACAUGUAGUAUAGAUAAAUGUAAAAGACUGAUCAACUGCCUUUGUUCUCGCUUGUGUAAGUAGACUUCAUGAAUCACAUAGCUCCCGGCCACUGACUGCUUAAAAGGUGGCUGCAUUCUUUCUCCAGGGCUCAGACUUUCCUGGACGCUAGUCCUACUGAGCCAGGUGAUCCCCUUAAUAAAGGCUUUCCUGAACUCUC